UAAAGUAAAACAUGUAUAUCUUGACAUGUUAUCUGAUUACACUGACUGACAGAUAUGUAGUCAUGAUAGAUAGAUAGAUAGAUAGAUAGAUAGAUAGAUAGAUAGAUAGAUAGAUAGAUAGAAACGCUGAAAGGAGAAGAUAUCAUGACAUCACCGGCGCGAGAGAGCGGCGGCACGCCUCGUGAAUUAUGAUGUCAUAGAGGAGCAUCAGCUGAAACAAUAGCAGAUGACCGCGGCCUGGUUUCGCCUUUAAUCGCCCUGCUGCGGACGUGAAUUGAGGACAUGAGCCGUGACAGGCUCGAUGGACGGCACCCAUUCACUGCAGAGGAUCCAUUGGUGACAUCGAUGACAAAAAACUCUACAUCUUGGAUUGCCUGAGGAUUAAUCACCUGAAUGUGAACAGAGUGCCCAUGUCGAGUUGUGACAGGAGCUCUGCUUUUGAUUUGGGAAAGGACAGCCGAUAGCGCAGAGUUUCAAAUGCUGGAACCACAAGAGCCUUUUUAGUGUUCCCCAUAUCAAGCUG